rnacentral:rRNA from 1 species
UACGUAGGGUGCGAGCGUUAAUCGGAAUUACUGGGCGUAAAGCGUGCGCAGGCGGUUUUGCAAGCCGGAUGUGAAAUCCCCGGGCUUAACCUGGGAAUGGCAUUUGGGACUGCAAGGCUGGAGUGCGGCAGAGGAGACUGGAAUUCCUGGUGUAGCAGUGAAAUGCGUAGAUAUCUGGAGGAACACCGGUGGCGAAGGCGGCAUCCUGGACCAACACUGACGCUGAGUGAGCGAAAGCCAGGGGAGCAAACGGG